rnacentral:misc_RNA from 1 species
UAAUAAGUGUUUUGUGGCACUUUUUUAAAUCCAUAUCCACCUUGUGUGCAAUGUCAGUCGGUUUUUCUUUUUCGUCAAGAAAAAAAAGGAUCGACCAAACAUCAACUUAUUCUAAUUGAACUUUUGUCUGAAAACUAUUAUGAAUAAACUAAUUCAAAAUA